rnacentral:rRNA from 1 species
GACGAACUCUGGCGGCGUGCCUAACACAUGCAAGUCGAACGGAGAAUUUUAUUUCGGUAGAAUUCUUAGUGGCGAACGGGUGAGUAACGCGUAGGCAACCUACCCUUUAGACGGGGACAACAUUCCGAAAGGAGUGCUAAUACCGGAUGUGAUCAUCGUGCCGCAUGGCAGGAUGAAGAAAGAUGGCCUCUACAAGUAAGCUAUCGCUAAAGGAUGGGCCUGCGUCUGAUUAGCUAGUUGGUAGUGUAACGGACUACCAAGGCGAUGAUCAGUAGCCGGUCUGAGAGGAUGAACGGCCACAUUGGGACUGAGACACGGCCUAAACUCCUACGGGAGGCAGCAGUGGGAAUCUUCCGCAAUGGACGAAAGUCUGACGGAGCAACGCCGCGUGAGUGAUGAAGGAUUUCGGUCUGUAAAGCUCUGUUGUUUAUGACGAACGUGCAGUGUGUGAACAAUGCAUUGCAAUGACGGUAGUAAACGAGGAAGCCACGGCUAACUACGUGCCAGCAGCCGCGGUAAUACGUAGGUGGCGAGCGUUGUCCGGAAUUAUUGGGCGUAAAGAGCAUGUAGGCGGCUUAAUAAGUCGAGCGUGAAAAUGCGGGGCUCAACCCCGUAUGGCGCUGGAAACUGUUAGGCUUGAGUGCAGGAGAGGAAAGGGGAAUUCCCAGUGUAGCGGUGAAAUGCGUAGAUAUUGGGAGGAACACCAGUGGCGAAGGCGCCUUUCUGGACUGUGUCUGACGCUGAGAUGCGAAAGCCAGGGUAGCGAACGAGAUUAGAUACCCCGGUAGUCCUGGCCGUA